GGCGAAUAUCGGACAAUGAGCCCAAGCCUGAUCCAGCCAUGCCGCGGGGGUGAAGAAGUCCUUCGGGUUGUAAAGCCCUUUUGUUGGGCAAGGAAAGCAGCCGGCCCAUUCCCGGUUGGUCUCACGGUACCCAAAGAAUAAGCACCGGCUAACUUCGUUCCAGCAGCCGCGGUAAUACGAAGGGUGCAAGCGUUACUCGGAAUUACUGGGCGUAAAGCGUGCGUAGGUGGUGGUUUAAGUCCGUUGUGAAAGCCCUGGGCUCAACCUGGGAACUGCAGUGGAUACUGGAUCACUAGAGUGUGGCAGAGGGUAGUGGAAUUCCCGGUGUAGCAGUGAAAUGCGUAGAGAUCGGGAGGAACAUCAGUGGCGAAGGCGACUGCCUGGGCCAACACUGACACUGAGGCACGAAAGCGUGGGGAGCAAACA
rnacentral:rRNA from 1 species